rnacentral:rRNA from 1 species
UGGCCUUGACAUAAACAGAAUUCAGUAGAGAUAUAGAAGUGCUAGUUUACUAGAGCUGUUAUACAGGUGCUGCACGGCUGUCGUCAGCUCGUGUCGUGAGAUGUUGGGUUAAGUCCCGCAACGAGCGCAACCCUCGCUAAUAGUUAAUAACGGUUCGGCCGAUGACUCUAUUAGGACUGCCUGGGUAACCAGGAGGAAGGUGAGGACGACGUCAAGUCAUCAUGGCCCUUACGGCCAGGGCUACACACGUGCUACAAUGGGGUAUACAAAGAGCCGCAAUACCGCGAGGUGGAGCAAAUCUUAAAAAUAUCUCCCAGUUCGGAUUGAAGUCUGCAACUCGACUUCAUGAAGUUGGAAUCGCUAGUAAUCGUGAAUCAGCAAUGUCACGGUGAAUACGUUCCCGGGUCU